rnacentral:rRNA from 1 species
AUGGAGGCGAAGAGGUCGAGGCCGCCCACCAUUGCCGCGCUGUGCGUGCUCCUCCUCCUGGUGCUGCUGCCCGGGGAGGUGGCCGCCAAGUCCAAGUUCUGCAAGUGCUUCGACGACUGCUUCCCUGGGUGCACGAACGACCACGUGCCGCGCUUCCUCUGCCAACUGUUCUGCGCCAACAAGUGCAGCCCCAACCAGGCCGCCGUCAGCGGCGACGCCAUGUGCAGGAUGGCCUGCAACAAGCUGAACAUCAAAAUCUGCGGCUGGUCAGCGGCGCCCGCCGAUGCAGCUGAUGCGGCCAGCUGCGAGGAAAACUGCAACAAGAAAUGGAGCCAGAAUUAA